rnacentral:lncRNA from 1 species
GAAGAUUCCGUGGCAGUAACUCCUUCACAGGAAACCGUGGAACUUGACAGAAGAGGAAUUGGGGUAGGAAACGGGAAAGGGCCUCCUUUACCAUCACAGAGUUUUCAUCAAUCCCAAAAGGAGGCCUUCAGAGGAAAAUGAAAUAACCCCAGUGUAGGAAUGAGAAGAGAUGAAAACAUGCUGCAACAUCUGUUUCUGAAAACGUAGGGUAGACAUCACAGCCGUGAGGAGCUGGAAGGUUCAGAGGUCUGCGGUUACCAGCUACUUGUGUAGAUGAGAACUCGGCAAGGCUCAGUGGAGGAAGUUGCGGAAAGAACUGUUGUUGGUUGUUCUCCGUCAAGUUCUGCAACACUCCCUCAUCAGUCUUACAGGUGUGGCAAGCUGUUGUGUCUGGGCUGGUGGUUCCAGUCCCCAGUAAGCUCCCAAUCCUUUCCCUUCACCAAAGUCAGAGGGAAUCUCUGGUCAUAUCACCUUGCUUUUUUCACAAACCUAUACACUGAAGUGCAUAGAGAAGCUGUGUAGUAGGACAGACACUAUGGCCAGUGGCCUGUUUUGUGUAUGUGGAGAUAAGGAAGCCAGAAAACCAAAACCACUGAGUGGAUGAAGACUAUGACCCUUUGAAUGGAGUUGGGCCACAUGCUGAGUCCUGCCCAACGAGUUGUGAGGGGCUGUGGAUGGCCAUCUGAAAAUACCCAAGUCUCCUGUGUGAGACACGAAAGAUGGGAGACAGCAAGCCUGUGGAGACUUGGGACCAGAGCAAGAGAACACAUGAGAAGUGAGCAGCCCAUGUACAGGACCGCUGGAGUUCUGGAAGGAUGCAGCUGUAUCUCAGAGGAUGGCUGGUGUGGGGGACAGUAUCUUGGGUGGAUACAGGACAGAGCUCAUCUGAAGCAGCAGGUCAUAAGGGUGGCAGAGCAAACCACUGAGAAUACAUAGGUUACCCAGCCCACAACACCAAGUUGGCAAGUGUAACAGUGGCCAGUCAGUGUGACAGCCCUCUCCCUACUGGAACAAAGACCAACCAGGGACAAGAAGAAAGAGGGAGAAGGAACUCUUGAUUGUGACUCGCUUAUAGCGGAUGAUAGCUGGGAGAUCACUGAAUUUAACUGUGUUUACCCCCAAAAUAAUUACAUUAACUUUUCUGUAUCUGUUUGAAUGAGGACUCAAGAUAGGAAGUCAGGCUAGAAACAGGAAAAGUAAAGAAAGGUACUUUUUUGUCCACCCGAGUCUGUGUUUUAUGAAAUGAACAGGCGUUAGUUACAUUAGCUUUUAUUUGUGAUUAUUGAGUAUUAAUAUUAUGCCAACUACUUUACACAUAUCAUCUCAUUUAAUCGUAACAGCUCUGUGAUGUUUGGAAUUGGAGGGAAGAAUUUAUCCAGGAUAACAUUUGUACCUUUGAAUUUCAAGCCCUGUGACUGUAUUGAUACCUAUGUAACAAUAAAUAUAAUUAAAAUAAUAAAACUGAAGUUCA